UCCGGCUUAACGCCGGCAGUCUCUCUAGAGUGCCCAACUGAAUGGUGGCAACUAAAGACGAGGGUUGCGCUCGUUGCGGGACUUAACCCAACAUCUCACGACACGAGCUGACGACAGCCAUGCACCACCUGCGCACAGGCCACAAGGGAAUACCUAUCUCUAGGCACGUCCUGUGCAUGUCAAACCCAGGUAAGGUUCUUCGCGUUGCAUCGAAUUAAUCCACAUAAUCCACCGCUUGUGCGGGUCCCCGUCAAUUCCUUUGAGUUUUAGCCUUGCGGCCGUACUCCCCAGGCGGGGCACUUAAUGCGUUAGCUGCGGCACGGAACCCGUUGAUAAGGCCCCACACCUAGUGCCCAACGUUUACGGCGUGGACUAC
rnacentral:misc_RNA from 1 species